rnacentral:rRNA from 1 species
GUCGAGGGGCAGCACAGGUAGCAAUACUGGGGUGGCGACCGGCAAACGGGUGCGGNNNNNNUACGCAACCUUCCUUUAAGUGGGGGAUAGCCCAGGGAAACUUGGAUUAAUACCCCUUAACAUUAUGAGAUGGCAUCAUUUUAUAAUUAAAGCUCCGGCGCUUAAAGAUGGGCGUGCGCCUGAUUAGGUAGUUGGCGGGGUAACAGCCCACCAAGCCUACGAUCAGUAACUGGUGUGAGAGCACGACCAGUCACACGGGCACUGAGACACGGGCCCGACUCCUACGGGAGGCAGCAGUAAGGAAUAUUGGUCAAUGGACGCAAGUCUGAACCAGCCAUGCCGCGUGGAGGAUGACGGCCCUCUGGGUUGUAAACUCCUUUUAUCUGGGAAGAAAUGCAGUUUUUCUAAACUGUUUGACGGUACCAGAGGAAUAAGCACCGGCUAACUCCGUGCCAGCAGCCGCG